AGGAUCUGCAGAGAAGAAUGGGAGAAACUCCCCAAUACAGAAUAGGACUGAAGAAGAAAUUGGUGGCUCUGGCCGAACGCAAAGACUACAAAGACCUUAUGCCUUGGGUGAAGAGUAUCUGCAUUCAUAUGUGGUGGCGUUGUAGCUCAUGUGGAGGAGAUGGAGGAGUUCAAGUUCCAUCACAUCUGUUGGGUCCAUCGCUGGGAAGAGGAUGGAGUGGAACACCGCUGUUACCAUGGAUAGCUAACAGAGGAUCAGCAGAGGGAGAAGAGGUGGCUACAGGAAGAUUCACCAACCUACAAAGCCCUGUACUCUCUGGUCAUGUACAGACGCCUGCAGAAUGAUCAGAUGUCACUGUUCAAGCACACAGGCACUCCAAGAUGCAUUGUUUACCCUAAACAAUCAAAACAGUGGAUUGCCCGGCCAAUAUAUCAGCCCAUCACUCAAAAAUUCAAGAAUGACCUGAUGGAGCGUGUCCUGCAGAGAUGCAUGGACAAAUCAGUGAAAUACUUGGAGCCAAAAUCCAGUGGAAGAGGCUGUGGUCUGGUUGCCAACAUAGCCCCUAUCCCAACAUGGUCCUCCUUGCACUACAACCUAAUACAAACACAUUCUAUUGUAACACAAUUUGUUAGCCUCUGGUCCUUAUCACUCUGCAUCUGUAGCAUUUGAUAAAAAUCCAUUCACUGUAGGCUACUACUGUACCUAAAAGCAUACCUACUUUAUACUGUCUAUUUUAUUGUAUAUUUGACCUUUAUUUAUGUGAAUUUUGAGAAUGCAUAGUCUAUACUGUGUAUUGUUCAUUAGACAGACCCCAAAUCUGUGUUGUAAAAAAUCACUACCGGUUCAAAUCAAAUCAAAUCAAAUUGUAUUGGUCACAUGCGCCGAAUACAACAGGUGCAGACAUCACAGUGAA